UCCCUCUGCCGGAUCUGCCCGCCUCCAAUCAAACUGAACACGACGCCGUUCCCAAUUCAUCUCUCUCUCUCUAAUUUCUCCUUCUCAACUGUAUCCCGCUGCUCUCUCUCUAGAAUCUCCGCUGCUCUCUCUCCAUCUCUGUCGAAAAAGUACCGCAGGUUUUACACUCGAAUUGGAUUUGUUCCAGCUUUUGAAAGUUUGGUGAAUAAGGGUUUCUCUGUAAUUGGAGGGAUCUGUUUCACGGUGGUUGAAUUGGCGAUUUGGGUUUCUGGAUAUUGUGAAGAUUGGGGGUUUUGAUGGAGCGUGUUAAUCUGGUGAGCAAUUGUAAUCCGAGGGUUUGAUGCUUGAAAUUGGGGAAUCGGGUGGUGUAAGAAUUGGGGAAAAUGCAAGAUACAGUGUCUUAUUAUGCAUGGGAGGAUUCAGCGCGACAACGAGAGCUCUAGAAGUUUAAAGAGGAGUCGUAGUAAGCAUAUGCGGUCAGUCCCUCCGUUGUCGACUGCCGAUAAAGCUGUAGCUUCCGCCGGAGAUAAUCAUUCUCCUGUUGGCUCUUCUAUCACAACCUCCACCACUGGUAGUUCGUUCUUCAAGGACGGUCGUAAGAUUAGCAUUGGAGAUUGUGCUCUUUUCAACCCACUUAACAAUUCUCCACCCUUCAUUGGUUUGAUACGUUGGUUGGCAUUGGGCAAAGAGAAUAACCUGCAGCUAGGGGUAAACAGGCUCUAUCGAUCAUCUGAGCUGAAGCUUGGAAAAGGGCUUUUACCAGACAGUGUUCCAAACGAGACCUUCUAUUCCUUUCACAAGGAAGCAAUUCCUGCUGCAUCACUCCUCCAUCCUUGUAAAGUUGCUUUUCUUCCUAGAGGUGCAGAACUUCCUACUGGGACAUCCUGCUUUGUUUGUCGACGUGCCUAUGACAUUGGGAAGAAGUGUUUAUGGUGGCUAACAGAUCAAGACUACAUUAAUGAGCAACAAGAAGAAGUAGAUAAGCUUUUAUACCAAACUAAAAAAGAGAUGCAUGUGACAAUACACCCUAGUGGCCGUUCUCCAAAGCAGGCCACAACUCCAACCUCAACCUCACAACUGAAACCAUCUUCUGAUAGUGGUCAAAAUAGUGGGACUUCUAUACCAUCUCAAAACAAGGGAAAGAAGAGGCGAAGAGUUGAUCAUGGUGCAGAUCCUGUAAAACGAGAACGGUCCUCUAGGACUGAUGAAGGUGAUUCUGGUCUGUGUAGAAAAGAAAGUAAUUUAAGAUAUGAGAUUGCACGAAUAACAGAAAAUGGUGGAGUUGCGGAUGUAAAGGGGGUUGAGAAGCUCGUUCAGUUGAUGCAAUCAGAUCAAACCGAGAGAAAAAUUGACUUGGUUAACCGUAUCAUGUUCGCAAGAGCAAUGGCUUCCACCGAUAAGGCUGAUUGUCUCAAUCGGUUUGUGGAGUUAAGAGGUGUUCUUGUAAUGGAUGAGUGGUUGCAGGAUAUUCAUAAAGGGAAGAUUCAUAAUGGUAACCCAAAGGAUGGUGAUAAAUCUGCAGAGGAUUUUCUUUUGAUUUUACUUCGUGCACUGGAUAAACUCCCAAUUAGUCUUCAUGCCCUCCAAAUGUGCAACAUAGGCAGAUCUGUGAAUCAUUUAAGAUCACAUAAAAAUACCGAUAUUCAGAGGAAGGCCCGAACUCUAGUCGACACAUGGAAGAAGCGCGUUGAAGCUGAAAUGAUGAGCAUUGAUACGAAGUCUGCAUGGUCCUCCAAAUCACGACUCCCAGAGGCUUCUCAUGGUGGAAGCAUUACUCCUAGUGGGUCUGAUGUUGCCAUGAAAAGCUCUAUUACACAGAACUCUGCUAUAAAACCUACUUCUGUAAAAUCUUCACAUGGGGAAACUACCGCAAAGUAUGUCUCGUCCCCUGGGCAUGUGAAGCAAGCUUCAUCUCUUGCAUCUGGAAAGGAGAGCCAGUCCAGAACUUCUGUUGGGGGUACUACCGAUGCCCAUCAAAAUAGAGAGGACAGAAGUAGUAGCUCAAACCAGUCUCAUAAUUGUGGUCAAUCUUCCUCAUCCAAGGAAAAUUUAAAGAGUUCUGCUUCUGGUUCGGGGACGGUUAAUAAAGUGUCAUCUAGCACACGAACUCGAAAAUUUAGCAGUUCUUCAGGAAGAUCGACAUCUGGAAGUCCGAAAGAAACAAACUCUAAGAAGAAUUCUUCUGCACACAAAAGCAUAGCUAAACAGAAGUUUUACUCUGCGUUAACUAGUGAAAGGGUUGUUGCGAGGCCUAUCAAUGAAGGAAGUAGCCAUAAGCUAAUUGUUAAGUUACCGAACAGGAUAAGAAGCCCUGCACAAGGUGCCAAUGGGGGAUCUCUUGAAGUUCCUACAGUUAUGAGCAGUCGAGCUUCCUCUCCUGUGGCUAAGCACGAGCAGCAUGAUGAUCCUUUAAAGGGCGAGAAUGGUUUAUAUGAAUGUAAUGCUGUUGCGGACAUGAAGACAUGUCAGACCAGUGAUCUAAAAGACGCGUUGACUGGAUCAGAAGGUGCUGGGUCGCCAGCAGUUCCUCCUGAUGAAGAGCAAAGCAUGACAACUGAAGACUCCAAGAGAACAAUUGAAGGCCCUACUGCAACUUUACCGAAGUUGGUGAAGUCGCAUUCUUCUUUCAGUCCCAUGAAUGCUUUAAUUGAAAGCUGUGCUAAAUAUUCUGAAGCAACUUCUUCUUUGUCACGUGAAGAUGACGUUGGAAUGAACUUACUUGCUAGUGUGGCUGCUGGUGAGUUAUCUAGAUCUGAUGUGGGUUCUCCUGCUAAUUCUACUGAAAGAAGUAUACCUAUUGCCGAUGAAGUUUGCAAUGGCAGUGAAGCAAAAUCUAAGUUUUCCGUUGAAGAUUCUGUUGCUUGUAAGGGCAAACAACAUGCUGGUGUAGAAGGUUGCUCCUGGUCAAAUGAUAGAUCACAUUUGUCCAGAAAUGCAUCACCUGAGGUUUCUGGUGACAGAAAGUGUUCGCCGUCAUAUUCUUCCAGAGAUGUUUCAGCUGGAGAAGGCACAAGGGACUUUGUUUCCUCAAGUACAGAUUUGAGAAGUAAUGCUGAUGUUAAGUUGGAGGCUGAGGAGAGACCUAAUAUAAAGACAGUUGCCGUUCCCAUCUCCUUGGAGAAGGUGAGAGAGAGUGAAUCUGGUCAAGGUAAUCAUGAGGAAAAGGCCACUACCUGCAAGGAGAUCUCUGAUAUUCCAAAAUGCAGUAGUGGUGGAACCGAUGUCAUGGUUACUGAGGAGAAAUGCGGUACUGGUUAUUUUAGUACUGGUGAGUGUAAGCCAAUGGCUGGAGACGAGGACUCAGAUCCUUUGCUUGAAGGUGACUGCAUCAAGCUAGAGAAUGAAAGAUUGAGCAGGUGCAAUUUUCAGCAGAAAGUAACAGCGGCAGUUGUAAAGUCUGAACAUAGAGAGAGUAAUGAAAAGCUGUACCAAACUGGAUGGUGCCAUAAACCAGUUCCAGAACUUGGUGAGGCGGUAAAAGUAAGAGAACCAGAUGACAUGUAUGCUAAGAGUUGCAUGAGCAAAUCUGAACAGCUGGACGUUGAUGAAGAUGUUGAUAUGAGUGCAGUUAAGGAGAGCCAUAGUGCUGCUGUUGUCUGUUCAAUAUCACAUGAUUUGAACAAUAAUGUUGAAGAGACCAAUGUAGGAAACCAGGCAACUCUGGAGCAAAUUUCCCCUCCUCAGAGAAGAUGUCCUAUUUCUGUGGACUUUGAAGGCCAGAAAGAAGUUAAGUUAAUUCGGUUUGCAUCUGCUAGCAAACAACAAGAUGAGGCAGACAAGUUUGCUUCCACUUGUGAUGGGGCUGCUUCUUGUAUUGCUGAAGGAACAGCAGUUCCAGGUGCCAAAAUAAAGUUUGACUUGAACGAAUUUAGUAGUGAGGAUGUGAAAUGUGGGGAUUCUCUCAAUAAAUCAUCACCUACUUUGUCCAUUGUUCAUAUGAACUCAUUGGCAAUCCCAACGAGCUCUAUAAUUGAUGGAAACUCUGCAUCUGUUACCAUAGCAGCUGCCGCAAAAGGUCCAUUUGUUCCCCCGGAGAACUUGUUGAGAAGUAAAGUGGAACUUGGCUGGAAGGGAUCUGCUGCUACAAGUGCAUUUCGGCCCGCUGAACCCAAAAGAAGUCUUGAAAUGCCGUUAGGUCUAACUAAUUUGUCUUGCUCUGAUUCUUCCACCAGUAAGCAUGACCGUAUUGCACUGGAUUUUGAUCUAAAUGUAGCAGAUGAAAGAGUUCUUGAGGAAAUGGCUUCUAGUGGUUCUGCUUUGGUAGUUGGCUCAACAACUGAGCCAGCAAGCAAUUGUGCUAAUGAUGCAUCAGAUUUUUUGCCUGUUCGUGGUUCUUGCGUUCUGGAUUUUGAUUUGAACAGAGUUGAUGAAACAAAUGAUAUUGGGAUCUGCUCCACCAGCAGCAAAUGUGAUGGACAGCCUUCUAUUAUGCAUGAGAAACCAUUAGGUGGUUUUCAUGUUCAGAGGGAUUUUGAUCUCAAUAAUGGACCUGUGGCUGAUAAUGCUGGCGUGAACCAGUUUAUGGGUAAUCAACUAGUCAAUGGUAAUUUCACAUCGCAGCCGCCUUCUGCGGGUGUUAGAAUGAACGGUCCAGUGCUGAGCAGUUUCUCAUCCUGGUUUCCUUCUGGUGGUAUUUACUCUACAGUAACAGUCCCAUCAAUAUUACCUGAACGAAUGGAGCAGCCCUUUCCAAUGUUUCCACCUGGUGCACCCCAGCCAAUAUAUGGGUCCGCAGGUGUCAGCCCAUUCAAUCCUGAUAUGUACCGCGGAUCAGUGUUGUCUUCGUCACCUACAGUGCCUUAUGGGACUAAUUCUUUCCAAUUCCCAGUCUUUCCUUUUGGAACUUCUUAUCCUCUCCCUUCAACUCCUUUUACAGUUGGAGCAACAUCAUAUGUGGAUUCCUCUUCUGGUGCAAGGUUCUUUGCUCCUCCAGUAAAUUCACAAUAUCUGGGUCCCAUUGGUUCUUUUGCAUCCCAAUUUCAAAGGCCAUAUAUGGUCAGCCUUCCUGACAUUAGCAAUAAUGGUGGGCUGGAGAGCAACAGAAAGUGGGGUAGACAGGGUCUUGACCUUAAUGCAGGUCCUGGGGUCAUAGAAAGUGAAGUAAGAGAUGAAAUAUUGCCUCUAUCAUCUGGUUAACUUUCUGUUGCCAGUUCGCAGGCUCUACUGAAGGAGCAGGCCCGGAUGUUCUGCCUCAGGUAAUAUUUAGAAGAGGAAAGAGCCUGAUCGGAGCUGGGACGAUACCUUCAGAGAUAGGCAGCCCUCUUUGCAGUAGAAUGUAACAUUGAAUAUACCAGUUGCCAAAAUGCUGUCUAUUACUGCAGAGUUUCAUGGCUGUUGUAGUUGUUUGUCCCAAUUACGGAUGUUGUUGCUGCAGAAAGCACUAAUUUUGCAGCCUAGUUAUGGAAGUUUGAUACGGUGACUAGUUUGGUGCAACAUCCUGACUAUCCUCAGGCAGAUGGUUUUGGACCGAUAGAUUGGAUUUUGACCCUCCUAAGGAAACGAGCUAUGCUCAUGUUCUGUUCAUGUUUUCGGCCUAUCUUUAUCUCCUGCAUAUGAACUUGUGUUCUUGCUCUAGCAGGGACUGGUUUUGUGAUGAUGAUGGGAAUCUUAUUGCCAUGAAGACUAAUGUAUUAAUGUCGUUUA